rnacentral:ncRNA from 1 species
AAAUUAGUGAAAAAGUGCAAUAGAGGGAUGGCUAGGGCAUUAAGCAAGGGGUCAUAUCAAGGAGGAUAGGAGGGAUGUUGACGAAUUUCAGCAGGCAUAAGCCGGCUCGUUUGGGUUCAAAUAUACAUGGGCGAGGGGACCAGAGCUUCAGGGAAUUGAAACAUCUUAGUACCAGAGGGGAAAAAUCAAGCAAGUUGCCGUAAGUAGUGGCGAGUGAAAGCAGAGCAAGGUGGAAAAGUAAGUUAAACCGUAGAGGGUAACAGGCCCGUGAUUUACUUAGUAACCUACAAUUAGACAUUAGACCCCCAUAUGAGGGAAGUAGAAUAAUUUGAAGAAGGGCGAACCAAACAUCCAACAACGUAAAAAGUAAUGCACCGAGAGAGGAAGUACUGUGAUGGAAGGCUGAAAGACUGGUGUAAACGGAAAUUUAUUGCACAUUAGAGCAGAUGAUGUCAUUGUACCAUUUGUGCAAUGGGUUUGCGAGUAAAAUAUUUGGCAAACUUAAGUCGAUGGACGGAGGUGUAGCAAAAGCGAACCAGGCGAGGUUCGAGUCAAAUACGACCCGAAACCAAGUGUUCUCAUCAUGGGCAGUCUGAAAUUUGUCGCAAAACAAGACAGCGGUACGCACCGGUGGUUGUGGCAAAAAUCUCAGAAGACCUGUGGUAAGUGGUGAAAGGCCAAUCGAACUUGGCGAUACCUGGUUUUCGACGAAAGCUCUUUCAGUAAUGUGUUGCUGUAUAAGAUAAAUUAGCCCCGCAUGGUAGGGCACUGAUCGGGACUAGGGCAGAUACCUGCUUUGUGUUCAGUCAAACCACGAAAGCACCACAAGUGACCAACCUAUGUAUCUAAGCACUUAUGUUGGCAAAAUGUGCGGGGGGAAAGAGUGACAAUCAGACAGUUGGUGCGAAGGUCAACUGUCGAGAGGGGAACAGCCCAGAUCAGAAGUAAAGGGCACGAAGUAUGGGUUGAGUAUGUAAGGAAGGAGAGACAAUGGGUAAGUAGGCUUGGAAUCAGCUAUCUUUGAAAUAUUACGUAGAAGUUCACCUGAAUGACUAUCGGUCACUGAAAAUAUAGGUGGUUAAACCCAACAAAACACAACCCGCUUUUGUGGGUUGUGUUUUACCCCGAAACACUGAAGAGGAGACAAAUCAACCAAGGUAGUCGAACGGACUGAAUUAAUACUGAAGGUGAGAGCUGGAAUCAGUCGUGAUGAUGCGAAUAUGAGUAACACUUCAGUGUGUGACGAGGGCAAUUACGUACAUAACGAUUUGUUAAA